UCAGGCCUAACACAUGCAAGUCGAACGGUAACAGGUUAAGCUGAAGAGUGGCGAACGGGUGAGUAAAGCAUCGGAACGUGCCCAGUCGUGGGGGAUAACGCAGCGAAAGCUGUGCUAAUACCGCAUACGAUCUAUGGAUGAAAGCGGGGGAUCGCAAGACCUCGCGCGAUUGGAGCGGCCGAUGUCAGAUUAGGUAGUUGGUGGGGUAAAGGCCCACCAAGCCGACGAUCUGUAGCUGGUCUGAGAGGACGACCAGCCACACUGGGACUGAGACACGGCCCAGACUCCUACGGGAGGCAGCAGUGGGGAAUUUUGGACAAUGGGCGCAAGCCUGAUCCAUCAAGGCCGCGUGCAGGAUGAAGGCCUUCGGGUUG
rnacentral:rRNA from 1 species